AUCCCUGCCCUUACUGCCACCCUCUGCUGCGUGGAGCAUGGAGGUGGUGUAAGCUGGGAUCUGUGUGCAGUGGGCCUCACAGGGAGGGGCCCCACUGAGGACUUGCCCUCCCCUACCAGGGCACAGAGGUGCAAGUAGAUGACAUCAAGCGGGUCUACUCACUCUUUCUGGACGAGUCCCGCUCCACACAGUACAUGAAGGAGUACCAGGAUGCCUUCCUCUUCAACGAGCUCAAAGGUGAAACCAUGGACACCUCCUGAGCUAGAUGUCACCCCCCACACAGACUCCUACCCUGUUUUCUACCAGAGUUCUGACACUGUGACUUUGUAUAAAGUGGUUUUGAAACAA